rnacentral:lncRNA from 1 species
AGCGAACAGCUAUCUGGGAUGCGCUGGCUGUCUACAUCCAAAACAACUCCUGCUGCACAAGGUGGGUCAGCACCUGUUUCCUGCCGGUCCCCUUGGAGAGCUGGGCAGUCCCCUUGGCCCUGGGCUGUGCGAUGCAGUGACUCUUCCCCUCCCCAGAAUGCAGGAAAACCACUCCAAAAUUCCCUGAGGCACCAAUGGACCUCACACACAUCUGGUAGCACUCAUGGUAGAUGUUGUAUCUCAGGGCUAAUCCUGGUUGCUCAUAGUCCACAGAGACCCUCAAUCUGCUUCUGCUCCACCUGCAGUGCUGCAUUUUUGAGAGGGCAAGGGGAAGAGAAGGACUGGGAAGCUUUCUCCUAGACCCCUUCCUCUAGCCAGCCCUUAACCUUCAGCUGUUCUGUUCCCUUCCACUUUAGGGGGUCCGAAUUCCAACUCUUGGCUCCUUUGAUGUUGUCCCAGUCAAGACCAGUGAUGAGGCUUUGGCUAUGCCAAGACCUGAAUUUCGUCUGGCCAUGAAUCUUGUAUAUGCUCACGGCCAUAUGGAUGAUGCAGAGUACCUGCCCAGCCAUAAGGUGUGUGAGCUUGUUCAGUACGCCACAGUGGCUGAAACUGCCUCUGUGUCCUGGGAGGAAGCAGAGAGCUGUGUCCGAGGCAUCACAUCCCUCAUGGCUCACUGCCUGCAGAAGGGGGAGAACGUCGCCCUUGUGCUGAAGGACGUGGGAGUGCUGCUCAUUGAAGGCACAAGGGUGCAAAUGAAAUUUUAUUAUGAUUUCCUAGAGAGAUUGUGUGGGAAGGAGAACCUGCGGGAGGCUGUUUUCAAGAUCCCCCGACUGCUGGACAUGAUUGUAUCCCGGGUGGCAGCGGUGGCCUCCCUGACACUCUCAGGACGUGUGAUUAUCUUUCCUGAAUAUGUGAUGGAGACUAUGCCCAAACCACCACCCAGGAAACCCAUCAAAGAAUCAGGAAAAGAGAGUUCUCCAUCUCAGCGCCGGAAAAAGAAAGGCAAAAGAGCUGCGAGCUCCAAGCACCGGCAUCGAACUCAUGAUAUUACAGAAAAUGGAGACUUGCAGCCCCAGGACAAAAAGGCGACAGAGAGGAGGAAGUCUCCGGUCGGUCGUCUGCCACCAGUGCCAGGGGCAUCCUCUACCAAAAAGCAGCCUGGUUCCAGAAAAAUCCAGGCUGCAAAACCUCAGAAGUUCAGAAAAGGGAGAGGAAAGAAGACAGCUCCCUGUGAUGGUGGAUGGCCUGGAACAGCAAUGCCUUCACACCAGUGCGGAGACCCAGUUCUGAGCGCUGAACACUACUACAGCGUGUUCAGGGUGCAACCACCAAGAGUGGAGACAUCACCAUCACUGAACUCGAGGCCUGAGAAGUUCUGGUCCGUGCUUCAACAACCGCAGAAGAAUAUAUUGUCAGGAUACAACUUCAACACCUCCUGUCUGUGUCCAAUCCCAUAUGAGGCAUCCGGCUCAAUGCAGCACCGCAUACCCAUAGCAGGGCUCCCCAACCCAGGCACGCCCAUGUCACUGUGA